rnacentral:rRNA from 1 species
AGCGAACGCUGGCGGCAGGCCUAAUACAUGCAAGUCGAACGCACCUUCGGGUGAGUGGCGGACGGGUGAGUAACGCGUGGGAACGUGCCCUUUGGUUCGGAACAACACAGGGAAACUUGUGCUAAUACCGAAUGUGCCCUUCGGGGAAAGGAUUUAUCGCCAUUGGAGCGGCCCGCGUUGGAUUAGGUAGUUGGUGAGGUAAAGGCUCACCAAGCCUACGAUCCAUAGCUGGUCUGAGAGGANGAUCAGCCACACUGGGACUGAGACACGGCCCAGACUCCUACGGGAGGCAGCAGUGGGGAAUCUUGCGCAAUGCGCGAAAGCGUGACGCAGCAACGCCGCGUGGGGGAAGACGCC